rnacentral:rRNA from 1 species
UACGGGGGGGGCAAGCGUUGUUCGGAAUUACUGGGCGUAAAGGGCUCGUAGGUGGCCAACUAAGUCAGACGUGAAAUCCCCAGGCUUAACCUGGGAACUGCGUCUGAUACUGGAUGGCUUGAAUUCGGGAGAGGGAUGCAGAAUUCCAGGUGUAGCGGUGAAAUGCGUAGAUUUCUGGAGGAAUACCGGUGGCGAAGGCGGCAUCCUGGACCGAGAUUGACACUGAUGAGCGAAAGCCAGGGGAGCAAACGGG